rnacentral:rRNA from 1 species
AGUGAACGCUGGCGGUAGGCCUAACACACGCAAGUCGAACGGCAGCACAGUAAGAGCUUGCUCUUACGGGUGGCGAGUGACGGACGGGUGAGGAAUACAUCGGAAUCUACUUUUUCGUGGGGGAUAACGUAGGGAAACUUACGCUAAUACCGCAUACGACCUACGGGUGAAAGCAGGGGAUCUUCGGACCUUGCGCGAUUGAAUGAGCCGAUGUCGGAUUAGCUAGUUGGCGGGGUAAAGGCCCACCAAGGCGACGAUCCGUAGCUGGUCUGAGAGGAUGAUCAGCCACACUGGAACUGAGACACGGUCCAGACUCCUACGGGAGGCAGCAGUGGGGAAUAUUGGACAAUGGGCGCAAGCCUGAUCCAGCCAUACCGCGUGGGUGAAGAAGGCCUUCGGGUUGUAAAGCCCUUUUGUUGGGAAAGAAAAGCAGCAGGUUAAUACCCCGCUGUUCUGACGGUACCCAAAGAAUAAGCACCGGCUAACUUCGUG